rnacentral:tRNA from 1 species
AGGGGCUUAGGAUAACCAUUAGACCAAGAGCCUUCAAAGCUCUAAGUAGGAGUGAAAAUCUCCUAGCCCCUG